rnacentral:rRNA from 1 species
CCUACGGGAGGCAGCAGUGGGGAAUCUUGCACAAUGGAGGAAACUCUGAUGCAGCGAUGCCGCGUGAGUGAGGAAGGCCUUUGGGUUGUAAAGCUCUUUUGUAGGGGAAGAUAAUGACUGUACCCUAAGAAUAAGGUCCGGCUAACUUCGUGCCAGCAGCCGCGGUAAUACGAAGGGACCUAGCGUAGUUCGGAAUUACUGGGCGUAAAGCGCGCGUAGGCCGUUGAGUUAGUUAAUUGUGAAAUCCCAAAGCUUAACUUUGGAACUGCAAUUAAAACUGCUCGACUAGAGUUUGAUAGAGGAAAGCGGAAUACAUAGUGUAGAGGUGAAAUUCGUAGAUAUUAUGUAGAACACCAGUUGCGAAGGCGGCUUUCUGGAUCAACACUGACGCUGAGGCGCGAAAGUAUGGGUAGCAAAGAGGAUUAGAUACCCUCGUAGUCCAUACCAUAAACGAUGAUUGCUAGAUGUUGGAAAUUUAUUUUCAGUAUCGCANCUACGCAUAAUACACUACCGCCGUCGGGGUAGGUACGACCGCCGAACGGUUAAAACCGUUAACGAAACGGAAAGUUAGUAACGGUACGUGUUAGACGUGCCGAACGGACGACGACGAGGGGAGGUUAGG